ACAGGUGUGUUCUACAGGUGUGUUCUACAGGUGUGUUCUACAGGUGUGUUCUACAGGUCUUUAUGAUGGGAGGUAUUAGACCAUUCUCCUUGUAUGACUGGUGGAGGAGAGACAGGUGUGUUCUACAGGUCUUUAUGAUGGGAGGUAUUAGACCAUUCUCCUUGUAUGACUGGUGGAGGAGAGACAGGUGUGUUCUACAGGUCUUUAUGAUGGGAGGUAUUAGACCAUUCUCCUUGUAUGACUGGUGGAGGAGAGUCAGGUGUGUUCUACAGGUCUUUAUGAUGGGAGGUAUUAGACCAUUCUCCUUGUAUGACUGGUGGAGGAGAGACAGGUGUGUUCUACAGGUCUUUAUGAUGGGAGGUAUUAGACCAUUCUCCUUGUAUGACUGGUGGAGGAGAGACAGGUGUGUUCUACAGGUGUGUUCUACAGGUGUGUUCUACAGGUGUGUUC
rnacentral:lncRNA from 1 species